AAUCUUGGACAAUGGGCGCAAGCCUGAUCCAGCCAUGCCGCGUGAGUGAUGAAGGCCCUAGGGUCGUAAAGCUCUUUCGCCAGGGGAUGAUAAUGACAGUACCUGGUAAAGAAACCCCGGCUAACUCCGUGCCAGCAGCCGCGGUAAUACGGAGGGGUUAGCGUUGUUCGGAAUUACUGGGCGUAAAGCGCGCGUAGGCGGAUUAGUCAGUUAGAGGUGAAAUCCCAGGGCUCAACCCUGGAACUGCCUUUAAUUACUGCUAGUCUUGAGUUCGAGAGAGGUGAGUGGAAUUCCGAGUGUAGAGGUGAAAUUCGUAGAUAUUCGGAGGAACACCAGUGGCGAAGGCGGCUCACUGGCUCGAUACUGACGCUGAGGUGCGAAAGUGUGGGGAGCAAACAGGAUUAGAUACCCUGGUAG
rnacentral:rRNA from 1 species